ensembl:lncRNA LINC00635 long intergenic non-protein coding RNA 635
AGCAUAGCAACAGCAGCGUAGCUGAACAUCUUACGGAUGGCCCAGGGCUCCAAAGGCUCGUUUCCUAAGUGAGAGAGAGCCUGGCUGAAGCUGUAUUACCAUUCAUUCUCCAGCCUCCGAAGUCUCAAAGCAUCACUUCCACCAUACUCUAACUGUCAAGACAAACACAAAGGCCCAGAGAAGGGGUCUCACUAUGUUGUCUGGAGUGCUGUGGUGGAGUGGAGUGGCUAUUCACAGGAUUCUUGGAAUGGACUGUAAAAGUCUGGAAUCAAGACUUUGUGUUUCCUCUCUAACAUGUAAAGAGCUUAGAAGUUGUCGCUAUUGCCCUUACAACAAAAUGAAGCUGGACAAACUGAAAAUCAAUGACUUUUCUUGGACUCACUAUACAGCUGAGUUUGCAGAGUAAACCACUACCCUGAAAUCUGGAAAGGCAGGUGCACCCACAGAUCCUCAGCUGAGAUCCAAUUACCUGAAAUAGAAGCUGCCAUUAGGAACACUUAAAAGAGCCUGUUCUGCUGGGACACAGAAUCACUUGCUCCAUCUCAUACAUUGAUGAUGAUUAAUUUGUAUGUGUACCUUCCAAAAAAGAUGGUUGUGUUUGAAUGGAGGCCUUCUGGACAGGAAAAUUGCAAAGUACAAUUAACAUUUGAGUCUGUCUGAGUCAUGAAGAAAUGGAGAUUACUGAAAAUAAUUCAUUUUGGUAUCUUCUUACAUCCUGAGAGACUAAUCUUUCCAAGUUCAUCUGAGGCUCCUCUUCUCCAUGACAACCUCAUCCAGGGAUUUCUUCCUGUCCUGGUGUUUUAUGACAUGUGGAAGGGGACUGUAGCAGGUGAUCUCCAAAGUCUCUGGAGACUUACUAAUGUGCAUCCUCAUCUCGCUUGUAAGGAUAAUAGCCUUCCUCCAAACCUCACACACUUUUGGAGGAGAUCACUUUUUUUAAAGUGCAUGGAAAUGUUUUGAAACAGUGAAAUCUAUAAUGAUAGGUUUCAUAAUUCUAACAUCCACACCAUAUGAAUCACAUCCUUCCUGAGAUAAUGAGCACACAAUUGCCUGGAUACCUGAAGGAAUGGAGACAGCGGCAGAAAACACUGCAGAGAGAUACAGUGAACCCACAUGUUGAAGCUUUCUAGUAUAAUAAAAAUUUCAACUGUUCUGUUGAAUCAUCUGCCUGAUUGGAGGCUACAGAAAAGAUGUCAUCUUAGGAGUGCUUGCUCUGAGUGAGGCUCAUCUUCAAAUCUGAAUGACCACAAGGAGAUUUGAUUAUACAUGUGAACACCUCAGAAGGCACAGCCCACCCAGAAGGCAGACAGAAGAAGCUGCCAGGAAGACUGUGAAAUCUUCAUGCCCAAGGAUCCCUAAAAUUAGGAGCAACAACCACUUGGCUCAGACGGUUUAUGGAGGCAAAGGUUUGGAUGGGAUUAGAGAUUUCUAAAUGUGAGUUCGUGUCCUCUGCCAGACCACCUUACUUCCACCAUUCCUCAGCAAAUCAAGAAAAACAGGAGAAAAGACAUGCCUUUCCAUAAGUUAAAUCUAUUCUGUUUUAAUUCUAUAUUAUAUCUGCUGUACAACUUCUUUUGUUUGUAACACCAUAUUGUUGCUAGUAACUGGAAAUUAAUUUUCACAUGCCUCAGCUUAGAAAAAUAAAAAGCAGCCCUGCAUCAA